GUUAAUUGUAAGUAUUUCAUUUAUUAAUUAUAUAAAUACAUAUAAAUAAAUGUUAUAUAUAUUAGAGAGAGAGAGAGAGAGAGAGAUUUAUUUGUUUUAUUUUUGUGGUAUCGGUGUAAAGGGGAGGAAUGGAAUUGGGUAGCCGAAAGUGAGAGGGUAAAAGGGGAAAGGGAAAGGGAAAGGGAAAGAAAAAAGAAAAGAAAAGAAAAGAAAAGAAAAGAAAGAAAGGGAAAAAGAAAAGGAAGAGAAGAAUGAUGAUAAAAGGAGGUUGGUUAUAAUUAUUUUUUUGUGUUAGUGUAUUUGUGAGAUAAGAGAAGAUUCGGGAGAGGGAGAUAGAUAGAGAAAGAGAGAGGUUGAUGAGGAAUGAAGAAGAAGUAGGAGAAGAGAUCAAGUAGAAGAAGGUGGUCGGAGGUCCUUGUCAAUUUUAGCUUCAGGGAUGACGACUCAGCGUAUUAGGGAUUUUAUUCAUCUUCCACUCCUUUCGAUUAUUUUAUUGUAUGAGUUUUUCUGACUUUAGAGUUAUUACGGAUUUUGGUUUAGGGGUCCUCAUAUUAAAGGAUUCCCAAGUUGUAUUAUUUAAAGUAUUAAAGUGUUGGGUUUUAUUUCAAUAAUUCAUGUAGAAAUCGAAUAUACUGUAAUUAAUUAAAGAGUAAUUUAGAUAUCGUACCUGAUUGAUGAUCAACGCACAUAUACCUUUUGAAUA